UACGGGGGGGGCAAGCGUUGUUCGGAAUCACUGGGCGUAAGGGUGCGUAGGCGGGUCUUUAAGUCAGGGGUGAAAUCCUGGAGCUCAACUCCAGAACUGCCUUUCGAUACUGAAGAUCUUGAGUUCGGGAGAGGUGAGUGGAACUGCGAGUGUAGAGGUGAAAUUCGUAGAUAUUCGCAAGAACACCAGUGGCGAAGGCGGCUCACUGGCCCGAUACUGACGCUGAGGCACGAAAGCGUGGGGGAGCAAACAGG
rnacentral:rRNA from 1 species